rnacentral:rRNA from 1 species
GACGAACGCUGGCGGCGUGCCUAACACAUGCAAGUCGAGCGGGGAUGGGCUGGGCAGCUUGCUGUUUGGCCUAUCCUAGCGGCGGACGGGUGAGUAACGCGUGAGCAACCAACCUUGUACUGGGGGAUAACAGCUGGAAACAGCUGCUAAUACCGCAUAAGACUACGGCACCGCAUGGUGCUGUAGUAAAAGGCGCCUUAAGGCGUCGGUACAAGACGGGCUCGCGUCCCAUUAGCUAGUUGGUGAGGUAACGGCUCACCAAGGCGACGAUGGGUAGCCGGCCUGAGAGGGUGUACGGCCACACUGGGACUGAGACACGGCCCAGACUCCUACGGGAGGCAGCAGUGGGGAAUAUUGCGCAAUGGGGGAAACCCUGACGCAGCGACGCCGCGUGAGCGAGGAAGGCCUUCGGGUCGUAAAGCUCUGUCCCCGGGGAAGAAGGAAUGACGGUACCUGGGGAGGAAGCCCCGGCUAACUACGUGCCAGCAGCCGCGGUAAUACGUAGGGGGCGAGCGUUGUCCGGAGUUACUGGGCGUAAAGGGUGCGUAGGCGGCCCAUUAAGUCAGGUGUGAAAAACCCUGGCUCAACCGGGGUAUUGCACUUGAAACUGGUGGGCUUGAGUGCAGGAGAGGGAAGUGGAAUUCCUGGUGUAGUGGUGAAAUGCGUAGAUAUCAGGAGGAACACCAGUGGCGAAGGCGGCUUCCUGGCCUGUAACUGACGCUGAGGCACGAAAGCGUGGGGAGCAAACA